rnacentral:rRNA from 1 species
AUACAAACCAAAGAAGGACAAAAAUUUUUAACUAUACUUUAUAACUUGAAUUUGGAUUUUUUUCUCCUUAAGCGUCUUAUAUUCCAAAAUAACACUCUCAUUUAGAAGGAGAUUUUGGAAUAGGAGGACGUUUCCUCCCAUUGUCAUUUUUACUAACAUGUUUUGCAUCUUGUUUUCUUGUAAUAACUUUUGGUAAUUCUACUUUUUUAGGAACCUCCAAUAUAACUUCUUUCACAGCUGGGAGUAUCUUGACAACAUUUGUAUUAGAAGAAAGACCAAUUUCAAGCAUUCUAGAUGUCUCUAAAGGAGGGAAUUCUUUAAUUGAAUCAAGAGCUGGUUCCACCUCCUUAAGAACUUCAAAUCCCCCAGAAGUCAAUUUAUCCUCCUCCCUAUAGUUUUGGAGUAGUAACUUCUUGAGAUUGUUGAGAAUCAUAAAUACCAACAAAAGAAUCUUCAGUAUUAGGCUGACAAAUAUCAAAGCCAAAGAGUAAGUUUUUAUCCUCUUGUUUUUUUUUCUUCUACCAGAAAUAUUCUCAGAAGAUAAAUUUUCUUUACCACCUUCUUUUUGAGUUGAUUCUUUCCUUUUGAUUCUGCAUUCAUAUACCAAAUGACCAACCACCUGACAAUAAGAGCAAAAUUUAGGAAUCUUAGGAAUGAGAAUCUUCUGUGAGAAACCUCCAUAUUUAGUCUUGACCCAUACUUUAUCUGGAAUGGCUUUAGCAAGAUCAAUCUCAACCAACGCACUAGCAUAAUAACCAAUUUUCCUUUGCACAGUAAAAUCAUCAACCUUUAUUGGUCUACCAAAAGCUCUCCCAGUGUCUAACGGAAUCUUCUCUGUCCAAUAUUCAAUACUUAAACCUGGUAAUUGAAACCAAACAAAAGCAGUAAAGGUUUUUUGAUUUGCUGGUUUAAAAUUCGGUUCCCAAUUACGAAGUUUCACACUCUGCUUCUCAACCUCCCAAUAUCCAGACCAAACAUGGUAUUUAUCUUCUUCAUUUUCAAGUUUGAUAACAAAAAAUACUUUACCCAAAGGUAUUAGUUGACAGUUACCCUUAAUCUUCCAUUGUGAUUUCAGAGAUUUUUCAGCAAUUUCCAAUGAAAACUUCGAAAAAUCCAAUCUACUUAUUAGGAUAAAUCGCCAUUCAUUAAUACAAGUAUCUAUAUCUUCAUCUGAAAUACAAACUUCAGGUUCAUCCAUUCUACGUUCAUCUGAAUUUUUUGUAGAAUCACCAAAAAAACCAGAUCCAAAUUUUUUCCCAUCGAAACUUUGUUCAAUGGUUUUUCAAACUAUAAACUAGAUUCAGACAAAUUUAAACCAAAAACUAGAGUAAACAAGAUGAGAACUGCCGCCUAUCAUUUAUGAAUUCAAGAAAAAUCACCUGAAAUUAAUGAAGAGCACAGAAUUCAACAACAGAAAUUUUUGAUUUUCUUCAACUGAGUUGAUCGCCGAUCCUCACUCUCUCCUCAACUCGCCCGGUUCAAAAAGGGGAGAAUUAAUGUGUAGUGUACCCUUAAGUCUCUUAGAAAAAUCAUGAACUUAGGGUAAGGUGACCUUAGGGUAAGAAGGGGUAGAGAAAAUUCCUCGAGCCAAUGUCCGAGUACCAGGCGCUACGGCGCUGAAGUAACUCAUGCCAUACUCACAGGAAAAGCUCGAACGACCUUCUACAAAAGGGUACUUGUACCCGAAACCGACACAGGUAGGUAGGUAGAGAAUACCUGGGGGCGCGAGACAACUCUCUCUAAGGAACUCGGUAAAAUAUCCCCGUAAAUUCGGGAGAAAGGGUGCCUCCUCACAAAGAGGGUCGCAGUGACCAGGCCGGGGCAACUGUUUACCAAAAACACAGGUCUCCGCAAAGUCGUAAGACCAUGUAUGGGGGCUGACGCCUGCCCAGUGCCGGAAGGUCAAGGAAUUGGUGACCUAAUGACAGAGAAUCCGGCGACCGAAGCCCCGGUGAACGGCGACCGUAACUAUAACUGUCGUAAGGUAGCGAAAUUUCUUCUCGGGUAAGUUCCGACCCGCACAAAAGACGUAACGAUAUGGGCACUGUCUCAGAGAGAGGCUCGGUGAAAUAAACAUGUCUGUGAAGAUGCGGACUACCUGCACCUAGAUAGAAAGACCCUAUGAAGCUUUACAGUUCCCUGGGAUUGGCUUUGGGAUUUUCCUGCGCAACUUAGGUGGAAGGCGAAGAAGGCCUCCUUCCGGGGGGUCCGAGCCAUCAGUGAGAUACCAAUCUGGAAGAGCUAGAAAUCUAACCUUGUUACAGGACCUACGGGCCAAGGGACAGUCUCAGGUAGACGGUUUCUAUGGGGCGUAGGCCUCCCAAAAGGUAAUGGAGGCGUGCAAAGGUUUCCUCGGGGCGUACGGAGAUUGGCCCUUGAGUGAAAAGGCAUAAGGGAGAUUGACUGCAAGACCCACCCGUCGUGCAUGGACGAAAUUCGGCCUUAGUAAUCCGAUGGUGCCGAGUGGACUGGCCAUCGCUCAACGGAUAAAAGUUACUCUAGGGAUAACAUGCUGAUCUUCCCCAAGAGUUCACAUCGACGGGAAGGUUUGGCACCUCGAUGUCGGCUCUUCGCCAACUGGGGCUGUAGUAUGUUCCAAGGGUUGGGUUGUUCGCCCAUUAAAGCGGUACGUGAGCUGGGUUCAGAACGCUGUGAGACAGUUCGGUCCAUACGCGGUGUGGGCGUUAGAGCAUUGAGAGGACCGGGAAGGACGCACCUCUGGUAUACCAGUUAUCGUGCCCACGGUAAACGCUGGGUAGCCAAGUGCGGAGCGGAUAACUGCUGAAAGCAUCUAAGUAAUAAUCCCACCCCAAGAUGAGUGCUCUCCUAUUCCGACUUCCCCAAAGCCUCCGGUAGCACAGCCGAGACAGCGACGGGUUCUCUUCCCCUGCGGGGAUAGAGCGACAGAAGUUUUGAGAAUCCAAGAGAAGGUCACAACGAGACGAGUCGUUUAUCAUUACGAUAGGUGUCAAGUGGAAGUGUAGUGAUGUAUGCAGCUGAGGCAUCCUAACAGACUGAUAGACUUGAAC